CCAAAAGUUUGAUCCUGGCUCGACGAACGCUGGCGGCAAGCUUAACACAUGCAAGUCGAACGGACCGUACGCGCAGCUUGCUGCGUGUAUGGUUAGUGGCAGACGGGUGAGUAAUGCAUAGGAAUCUGCCUAGUAGUAUAGGAUAGCCACUAGAAAUGGUGGGUAAUACUGUAUAAUCCCUGCGGGGGAAAGAUUUAUCGCUACUAGAUGAGCCUAUGUCAGAUUAGCUAGUUGGUGGGGUAAUGGCCCACCAAGGCUGUGAUCUGUAGCUGGUCUGAGAGGAUGAUCAGCCACACUGGAACUGAGACACGGUCCAGACUCCUACGGGAGGCAGCAGUGGGGAAUAUUGGACAAUGGGCGCAAGCCUGAUCCAGCUAUGCCGCGUGAGUGAGGAAGGCCUUAGGGUUGUAAAACUCUUUCA
rnacentral:rRNA from 1 species